rnacentral:tRNA from 1 species
AAAGGGAGACCUAAUUCCGGUAGGAGACGAAAAAAAAGUAGUCCCUACCAAGAAUCAAUCCCAAAAGGUCGGAACGAGGUAUGAGGCUUUCAAACUAGGUUCUGGGUUCAAACAAGACCUGAAUCAGGAACAAGGGCUAUUAGCUCAGGUGGUUAGAGCGCACCCCUGAUAAGGGUGAGGUCCCUGGUUCGAGUCCAGGAUGGCCCACCUGCACAGGUGGCAAAAACAAGAGAAGCGAGGAAUCAGCACCUUAUCUUAUCUAUAUAUAAGAGAGAAUGCUGGCUCUGAGUAAAGAGUCCAGAGGAACCUUGAAAACUGCAUAGAGCUAGGUGAAAAAGCCAAAAAAGAAGACCGCAAG